rnacentral:miRNA from 1 species
GAGGAUUGCUUGAGCCCAGGGGUGUAAGGCUGCAAUAAGCCAUGAUCAUACCACUGCACUCCAGCCUGAGUGACAGAGCAAGACCUUAUCUC